AGAGUUUGAUCCUGGCUCAGAUUGAACGCUGGCGGCAGGCCUAACACAUGCAAGACGAGCGAGAAAGCACUUCGGUGUGAGUAGAGCGGCGGACGGGUGAGUAACGCGUAGGAAUUUGCCCAGUAGUGGGGGACAACAUGUGGAAACGCAUGCUAAUACCGCAUACGCCCUAUGGGGGAAAGCAGGGGAUCUUCGGACCUUGCGCUAUUGGAUGAGCCUGCGUCGGAUUAGCUAGUUGGUGGGGUAAAGGCCUACCAAGGCGACGAUCCGUAGCUGGUCUGAAAGGAUGAUCAGCCACACUGGAACUGAGACACGGUCCAGACUCCUACGGGAGGCAGCAGUGGGGAAUAUUGGACAAUGGGCUGAAAGCCUCAUCCAGCGCACUCUCUUGCGCGCUGUUGUGAAGAAAGGCCCUAAAGGUGGUAAAGCACUCUUUUCCACUUAGGGAGGACAAAGGUAUGUCUUGUUUAAAUAGCGGCUUAGCCCUGACGGUUACCUACAAGAGAGAAGCCACCCGGCAAACUCCGUGCCCAGCACGCCCGCGGGGUAAUACGGAGGGUGCCCGAGCGUUAAUCGGAACUAAUGGGCGUAAAGCGCGCGUUAGCCGGCCUUUGAUAAGUUGGAUGUGAAAGCCCCGGGCUUAACCUUGGGAACUGCAUUCAAAACUGUCAGGCUAGAGUAUGGUAGAGGAUAGGGGAAUUUCCCGGGUGUAGCGGUGAAAUGCGUAGAGAUCGGAAGGAACAUCAGUGGCGAAAGGCGGCUAUCUGGACCAGUACUGACGCUGAGGUGAGAAAGCGUGGGGAGCAAACAGGAUUAGAUACCCUGGUAGUCCACGCCGUAAACGAUGUCAACUAGCCGUUGGGGGGCUUGUCCCUUUAGUGGCGCAGCUAACGCGAUAAGUUGACCGCCUGGGGAGUACGGCCGCAAGGUUAAAACUCAAAUGAAUUGACGGGGGCCCGCACAAGCGGGUGGGAGCAUGUGGUUUAAUUCGAUGCAACGCGAAGAACCUUACCAGGUCCUGACAUCCCGAGAAUUUACUAAGAGAUAGUUUAGUGCCUCCGGGAACUCGGUGACAGGUGCUGCAUGGCUGUCGUCCAGCUCGUGUCGUGAGAUGUUGGAUUAAGUCCCGUAACGAGCGCAACCCCCUUGUCCUUAGUUGCCAGCACGUAAUGGUGGGAACUCUAAGGAGACUGCCGGUGCCAAACCGGAGGAAGGUGGGGACGACGUCAAGUCAUCAUGGCCCUUACGACCUGGGCUACACACGUGCUACAAUGGUCGGUACAGAGGGUUGCCAAGCCGCGAGGUGGAGCUAAUCUCAGAAAACCGAUCGUAGUCCGGAUUGGAGUCUGCAACUCGACUCCAUGAAGUCGGAAUCGCUAGUAAUCGCGAAUCAGAAUGUCGCGGUGAAUACGUUCCCGGGCCUUGUACACACCGCCCGUCACACCAUGGGAGUGGGUUGCAAAAGAAGUGGGUAGACUAACCCUCGGGAGGUCGCUCACCACUUUGUGAUUCAUGACUGGGGUGAAGUUGUUCAAGGUAAAGGGCGACUUCCACCACACUGGCGGCCGUUACUAGGGAUCCGAGCCGGAUCAAGCUGUGCGAUUGAU
rnacentral:rRNA from 1 species